rnacentral:rRNA from 4 species
AGACCCGAAACCCGGUGAUCUAGCCAUGGGCAGGUUGAAGGUUGGGUAACACUAACUGGAGGACCGAACCGACUAAUGUUGAAAAAUUAGCGGAUGACCUGUGGCUGGGGGUGAAAGGCCAAUCAAACCGGGAGAUAGCUGGUUCUCCCCGAAAGCUAUUUAGGUAGCGCCUCGUGAAUUCAUCUCCGGGGGUAGAGCACUGUUUCGGCUAGGGGGCCAUCCCGGCUUACCAACCCGAUGCAAACUGCGAAUACCGGAGAAUGUUAUCACGGGAGACACACGGCGGGUGCUAACGUCCGUCGUGAAGAGGGAAACAACCCAGACCGCCAGCUAAGGUCCCAAAGUCAUGGUUAAGUGGGAAACGAUGUGGGAAGGCCCAGACAGCCAGGAUGUUGGCUUAGAAGCAGCCAUCAUUUAAAGAAAGCGUAAUAGCUCACUGGUCGAGUCGGCCUGCGCGGAAGAUGUAACGGGGCUAAACCAUGCACCGAAGCUGCGGCAGCGAACGUAUCACCCAAGACAACUUUACGGAGUUGACGAUUGACGGAGCGAAGCGACGUCAAAGCGUUCAUUAAAGUCGAGUUGGCUUAGGGAUACGUUCGUUGGGUAGGGGAGCGUUCUGUAAGCCUGUGAAGGUGUGUCGUGAGGCAUGCUGGAGGUAUCAGAAGUGCGAAUGCUGACAUAAGUAACGAUAAAGCGGGUGAAAAGCCCGCUCGCCGGAAGACCAAGGGUUCCUGUCCAACGUUAAUCGGGGCAGGGUGAGUCGACCCCUAAGGCGAGGCCGAAAGGCGUAGUCGAUGGGAAACGGGUUAAUAUUCCCGUACUUGGUGUUACUGCGAAGGGGGGACGGAGAAGGCUAUGUUGGCCGGGCGACGGUUGUCCCGGUUUAAGCGUGUAGGUGUGUGUUCCAGGUAAAUCCGGUUCACUUUAACACUGAGGCGUGAUGACGAGGCACUACGGUGCUGAAGCAACAAAUGCCCUGCUUCCAGGAAAAGC